rnacentral:rRNA from 1 species
AUUGAACGCUGGCGGCAUGCCUAACACAUGCAAGUCGAACGAAGGCUUCGGCCUUAGUGGCGCACGGGUGAGUAACACGUGGGAAUCUGCCUUUCGGUUCGGGAUAACGUCUGGAAACGGACGCUAACACCGGAUACGCCCUUUGGGGGAAAGUUUACGCCGAGAGAGGAGCCCGCGUCCGAUUAGGUAGUUGGUGGGGUAACGGCCCACCAAGCCGACGAUCGGUAGCUGGUCUGAGAGGAUGAUCAGCCACACUGGGACUGAGACACGGCCCAGACUCCUACGGGAGGCAGCAGUGGGGAAUAUUGGACAAUGGGGGCAACCCUGAUCCAGCAAUGCCGCGUGAGUGAUGAAGGCCUUAGGGUUGUAAAGCUCUUUCGCACGCGACGAUGAUGACGGUAGCGUGAGAAGAAGCCCCGGCUAACUUCGUGCCAGCCGCCGCCGUAA